rnacentral:rRNA from 1 species
UACGGGGGGAGCAAGCGUUGUUCGGAUUUACUGGGCGUAAAGGGCGCGUAGGCGGCCACCGCAAGUCGGUUGUGAAAUCUCCGGGCUUAACCCGGAAAGGUCAAUCGAUACUGCGGGGCUAGAGUGCAGAAGGGACAACUGGAAUUCUCGGUGUAGCGGUGAAAUGCGUAGAUAUCGAGAGGAACACCUGCGGCGAAGGCGGGUUGCUGGGCUGACACUGACGCUGAAGCGCGAAAGCUAGGGGAGCGAACGGG